rfam:Triticum aestivum genome assembly, contig: Triticum_aestivum_CS42_TGACv1_scaffold_472257_6AL
GUUGCUUCACAACUGGAAGGAUGGCCUGUUGUUUAUGGUUUGGUCAUCCUGUAGAGGGGAGCAUAGAUGAGCGGAAACACCGGCCAGCAUUUAACAGCACGGGGCUUUAUGGAACCGCCCCGUGUUAUCUGUCUUCUGUUACAUUU